AUAGGCAGGUCAGGUCCCAAACCCCAAUGUAAUAUAGGCUCCCUCUUUCACACUCUGUCAAUGGCACAAAGCCCUAUUGUUAAUACAGUUCUCUACUCACACUCAAGAUAAGAGUAAACAACACUGUCCUUCGACUACACAACUUUCUUCCUCUACAUACAUCUGCUCUUUCUGACAGCUUUCCUCCAGGCGUCUCAUCACAGCAAUACUGAAAGGGACUGUGGCAAGCCAGUUUUGGGACCCGUCCUCCAGGAUUCCAGAAAGCCCUUUCCUAAGAAGUCAGCUCCCGGGUAAAUUUCAGAAUUGGUACUCUGAUUGAAGAGGUGAUUUUGGCACUGGAAUAGAAUAUGGCUGCAGGGAAAGAGGCAAACUCCCUCUCUGAUUGAGAAACUGCAACCCCCUCAAACUGUUUUCUUUAAGGUACAAAAUAUACACGAGGCACAGCAGGUGCACAAAUCUGAA